rnacentral:rRNA from 1 species
GACGAACGCUGGCGGCGUGCUUAACACAUGCAAGUCGAACGAUGAAGCCUAGCUUGCUAGGUGGAUUAGUGGCGAACGGGUGAGUAAUACGUGAGUAACCUACCUUUAACUCUGGGAUAAGCCUGGGAAACUGGGUCUAAUACCGGAUACGACCAAUCUCCGCAUGGGGUGUUGGUGGAAAGCGUUAUGUAGUGGCUAUAGAUGGGCUCACGGCCUAUCAGCUUGUUGGUGAGGUAACGGCUCACCAAGGCGACGACGGGUAGCCGGCCUGAGAGGGUGACCGGCCACACUGGGACUGAGACACGGCCCAGACUCCUACGGGAGGCAGCAGUGGGGAAUAUUGCACAAUGGGCGCAAGCCUGAUGCAGCGACGCCGCGUGAGGGAUGACGGCCUUCGGGUUGUAAACCUCUGUUAGCAGGGAAGAAGAGAGAUUGACGGUACCUGCAGAGAAAGCGCCGGCUAACUACGUGCCAGCAGCCGCGGUAAUACGUAGGGCGCGAGCGUUGUCCGGAAUUUAUGGGCGUAAAGAGCUUGUAGGCGGUUUGUCGCGUCUGCUGUGAAGGCCGGGGCUUAACCCCGUGUAUUGCAGUGGGUACGGGCAGACUAGAGUGCAGUAGGGGAGACUGGAAUUCCUGGUGUAGCGGUGGAAUGCGCAGAUAUCAGGAGGAACACCGAUGGCGAAGGCAGGUCUCUGGGCUGUAACUGACGCUGAGAAGCGAAAGCAUGGGGAGCGAACAGGAUUAGACACCCUGGUAGUCCAUGCCGUAAACGUUGGGCACUGGGUGUGGGGGACAUUCCACGUUUUCCGCGCCGUAGCUAACGCAUUAAGUGCCCCGCCUGGGGAGUACGGCCGCAAGGCUAAAACUCAAAGAAAUUGACGGGGGCCCGCACAAGCGGCGGAGCAUGCGGAUUAAUUCGAUGCAACGCGAAGAACCUUACCAAGGCUUGACAUAUACUGGACCGCAUCAGAGAUGGUGUUUCCCUUCGGGGCUGGUAUACAGGUGGUGCAUGGUUGUCGUCAGCUCGUGUCGUGAGAUGUUGGGUUAAGUCCCGCAACGAGCGCAACCCUCGUUCUAUGUUGCCAGCACGUUAUGGUGGGGACUCAUAGGAGACUGCCGGGGUCAACUCGGAGGAAGGUGGGGAUGACGUCAAAUCAUCAUGCCCCUUAUGUCUUGGGCUUCACGCAUGCUACAAUGGCCGGUACAGAGGGUUGCGAUACUGUGAGGUGGAGCUAAUCCCUAAAAGCCGGUCUCAGUUCGGAUUGGGGUCUGCAACUCGACCCCAUGAAGUCGGAGUCGCUAGUAAUCGCAGAUCAGCAACGCUGCGGUGAAUACGUUCCCGGGCCU